UAGAAUGAAGCUCGCUGGAUUGAGUGCUUAGCUGUUAACUAAGAGGUCGCGGGGUCGAAGCCCGCUGUUCUAG
rnacentral:tRNA from 1 species